rnacentral:rRNA from 1 species
UACGAGGGGUGCAAGCGUUGCUCGGAAUUAUUGGGCGUAAAGGGUAGGUAGGUGGUCUCAUUUGUCUGGGUGAAAGCCUUGAGCUUAACUCAAGAAGUGCCCCGGAAACGGUGAGACUGGAGUCCUGGAGAGGGUCGUGGAAUUCCCGGUGUAGCGGUGAAAUGCGUAGAGAUCGGGAGGAACACCGAGGCGAAGGCGGCCCGAGCCGCCUGGACAGCUCG